rnacentral:lncRNA from 1 species
ACUCACCCUCACAUCCAGCCAGCGGCAACACACACAAUGAAAACCGUUCUGAAAAAGCAAAGCUGAGAGCCCCGGGAAGAUGCAGGAGGUGUGGGUGGGGGUUGGAAUUCAGCUCGGUUUAGAUAAACAACUGAGACCCGAGAUGUUGAUCUCUAAGGAUUAUCUCAGCCCCGACCUAUUUCAACUUCCUUGUCUUCUUUCUUUGGCUCCUUACUUUUCAUUGAAAUUCCCUGACUGGCCCACUAAGAACCAGGCUCUGGCCAGCACGGUGGCUCACUCUGUAAGCCCAGCACUUUGGGAGCCUGAGGCGAGAGGAUGGCUUGAGGCCAG